CACUGCUUCACGGCUGCUGUCACCGGCGAGCUUCCCGCCCCAGUAAGUAGUUUCCAGCUCAGAAGUGAAGAUGGGCGGAAGAGAAAGGGAGGAGAGUCCAGGAGAGAGUGAUGGACUUGAGAAAACGAGUCUGGCCAUAAAAUUGGAACGACUCUAAGCACAGUUAAGGCUGCUCGCGGGUAACUGCCAGUGAUUGAGGGCUGCGCAUGCUCAGUGUGAAUCCCGGCAGUGGGGAGACGCCGGCAGGAAUCAGUACCAAGCUUGCCACUACGAACACCGCUACCUCCUCUGGUGUCACAUGUUGUGGUGCUUUGAGGGUCAAGACUGCAAAUAUGGAGUUAACCACUGAUAUAAUGCCGUCAUCACCUCUACAAGGGUCAUUCAUAUUACAUUAGUGUACACAUUCCAAGUGCCUGGCAGUGUGGCACAGGGAGCAGGAAGAGGUGACAAAUGUGACAACACAAGAUGAACGAAGGACAGGAAAAGGAAGAAUACAGCAGAAAUUAACAGCUCACAAGAAUCCAACAUGUGGGAACCCUUGAAUAAAGAAGCUUCUAAAGUCCAUGACAGAAGAACUACAACACGGGUGUCACCACUACUACCAAUGAAUGUUGUAUAUAUGAACUACAGGUAGUGAAGGAAAGCAAGCUCACAGCUGGUGCUGGACCAGCAGCCUCCUGCUUCCCCAAGGAACUGUGGUUUGGAUCAAAAGCUCCCUCCAUGAGUGCACCAAUUGGACCACCUGCCCAGGAUACCUAACUUUUUUUUUUUUUUCUUUUUGCCUAUAUAGCACCUGUAGGAGGUAACUUGAAGAAUUACUGGACGUGUUGUUAAGCUUCCAGGCAAUUUUAUUUAUAGUGGUACCCAUAUUUUAGGGCCCAUAUCAUCAUCCAAGUGCAUCUUUGGUGUAACACCUGGGUGACAUGUAGGUAACUUUAAGCCACUCAAGAAUAACAGCUGGUGCAUGGAGACUGGUGAAUCUACACCUCACCUUUGCAUUUGCAGAUAACACAGCAAUUUUCUUGCCUCAACACAAACCUGUCGGAGAGAGAGAGACAAGAAUAAAGAUUAAUUGUUAGUCACUUGUCACCCAUGAACUCUUUGGGAUUCCUGACAAAAAAGCACAACAGCAAGCCUCCAGUGUUCUCUCACCACUGUAGUCCAUAUUCCUUCAAUGAAAGAGAUGAGGUGCUACCCAUACAUCUCUCACUGGAUAAAGUUAAGAAAAUAAUAAUACCCAUGUUUGGUAAGAAAAGGCAAGAUUGUUGUUGGGAGCAUGGCAGGUCAUAAGAUAGGCAAGGUUUCUUCUGGCCUAAAUAUGACAACUACAAACAGAUCAGAGAAGGGAACUAAAACAGUGUGAUCAAUGGGAGAUGGCAGGACUUGGAAACAGCCUGUCAACUCUUGGGGCUUAUUUCUUCAAUGAAGACUACUGCCAUUAAGAUAGAUAAAACUAAGAGCUAAAGUGAUAUAUUUGUGAAUUCUUGAGAGCUAAAGUGAUAUAUUUGUGAAUUCUUGACUUUUGCAAUAUGCUCAUGUAUUGAUGUAACUUGUAAUCUUAUGAUGACCACACCAUGUGAGAGAAAAUUAAAAUCACUAAAGUCUAAUAAGUAUUGACACCAUAAUCAUCAUAAUUUUCUUUUUCUCCAUGUCACAUUCUUAGUAAAAAAUACUCUAUAGAGACAUGUGCUGUGUUCUGCUUACUUGAGAAAUUAAUGUGAAAGUUGUAUGUAGUGGGAACUGCUUGCCUGGAUGGGCCUGUAACUCCUCUCGCAUCAUCAAUAUCCACUCCGAGAUAGAUGGGGAGUCUAAAAAAAAUAAUAAAAAGUGAUUUCCA